rnacentral:rRNA from 1 species
UAACAUGCAAGUCGAACGGCAGCGCGGGAGCAAUCAUGGCGGCGAGUGGCGAACGGGUGAGUAAUACAUCGGAACGUGCCCAAUCGUGGGGGAUAACGCAGCGAAAGCUGUGCUAAUACCGCAUACGAUCUACGGAUGAAAGCAGGGGAUCGCAAGACCUUGCGCGAAUGGAGCGGCCGAUGGCAGAUUAGGUAGUUGGUGAGGUAAAGGCUCCCCAAGCCUUCUAUUUGUAGUUGGUCUGAGAGGACGACCCCCCCCACUGUGACUGACACACGGCCCACAUUCCUACGGUAGGCCCUAUUGGGGAACUCUGGACAAUGUGCGAAAACCUGUUCCACUCUUUUUCGCGCUGAUGAAGGCCUCCCGGUUCUCACCUG